GACGUAGGGCGCGAGCGUUGUCCGGAUUUAUUGGGCGUAAAGAGCUCGUAGGCGGCUUGUCGCGUCGUCCGUGAAAACUUGGGGCUCAACCCCAAGCUUGCGGUCGAUACGGGCAGGCUAGAGUUCGGUAGGGGAGACUGGAAUUCCUGGUGUAGCGGUGAAAUGCGCAGAUAUCAGGAGGAACACCGGUGGCGAAGGCGGGUCUCUGGGCCGAUACUGACGCUGAGGAGCGAAAGCGUGGGGAGCAAACGGG
rnacentral:rRNA from 1 species